UUAUGUUAGUUUUGUUUUUAAUAUGGUGUGUUGUGCAGGAGUGGAUUCAUUGCUCUAUAAAUCUUUGUCUGCAAAAAUGAUGUUUAUAUAGGGUUUAAAUUCAGUGUGUGGUCCCCAUUUUUAUUGUUUAGAUUGAAGCGUUCACUAUUGCUAAUGUCUAAUCAGCUAAUUCUUAGUAUCUGUGGGAAGUGUUGAUACUGCAUGUAUUUACUCCUAUUCGAAUCGGUGUGCAAGAUUUUUCAGAAAAAGAUAUUGCCAUUCAUGGUACACCGUACAUGUAUUUCAAAAAUAUUUUGCAAAUCCUUUUAUGCAUGCAAGAAAUUUAUACAUAUCUUAUGGCUACUUUCCUAAAAGUUUCCUUGCCCCUGCUGGGCUCCAUUUUCAUUGUAUAACUUUUCUUACAUUCCAAUUUUGAAUAACUUGAUCACCUUCACCUUGUAUAUUUAAGAAAUAAGAUAUCAUUUUUGAAUGUUGUUGGGAUAUGACAUGAAGUUGGUCACGUGAUCAAAUCCUAUAACGCCCAAAGGGCGUUAUAGUAGAUUUGAUCACGUACCAACUUCAUGUCAUAUCCCAAUAACAUUCAAAAAUGAUAUUUUAUUUCUUAUAUUUAUAUUUUCUAUUUUGAUUUGUGUUCUUACCGAGCUUCCAUGAUUAUGUAGCAGAUGACCAAACUAACGAUCGUAGAACACAAAAUAUAGUUCGUUAGAGUUUUAUCGAAUAAAAAAUUAGGAACAAUAUAAAAGAGAAUAUAAGAUAGAGAUAUUUAAUUGAAAAUGUUAAAAAAAAAAAAAGACGAAACAUGUGUAAAAUAAAGGUAAUUUAGAGCGUAAAGUUAACUGAAAUGACAAGAAGAAGAGCGGAGUAAACUACAUCCGUGAUGUGAUUUGGUCGCGAUCAGCGAUGGAGAAACUGGUGUCGGUCUAGCUUACUAAGUUGAAAACGCUUGUUGAUCACAGAUUUCGACAGAAAUUCAAAGGAUCUGAGAGAAUUGAUGGUGGAUAUGAUGGGUCAAGUUAACAUUAAGAUCUUAGUCGGGUUUUUGGAAAGAAACAACGGUAUGUUCAUCGUUAGGACUCGCAGUAAACGUAGCCAUGCAGGAGACGAUUCAAGACAGUAGGACAGAUUUAGACAAAGUGCAGGAUUUUAAUGAAGACUCGCACCGGUACCCUGACAUGAACAUCUAUAUUUUUCGAGCCUCGAAACCAGCCUUGCUUAUGAUCAUGCCGAGUCAUAGCCGUGAUGGAAGUUGCCAGGAAACAACAGGUUAACUUAUCAUAAAGUAAAUAGGCUUAUAACUCUGUCUACAUGUCUUCACUUCCAAUAUCAUAGAACUUUAUAAAAUCGCCAUGCAGAAGUUGCAGAUGGUAUUUAAAACUGUAUAAAAUGAAACAACAGAAUGAUAUGUUUAAUGUUUCUCUUUUAUAAAUUGAUGAAAUUCUUGUUUGUUUACAAAAUAAAAUCUGUAUAAAUAUC